CCAAUAGCGUAUAUUAAAGUUGUUACAGUUAAAAAGCUCGUAGUUGAAUUUUGGGAUCAAUGGGUUGGUCAUGCCCUCGGUAUGUACUGAUUUCAUUGGUUCUCACCUUCUAAGGAACCAUGAUGUCAUUCGUUUGAUGUUGUGGGGAAUUAGGACUGUUACCUUGAAAAAAUUAGAGUGUUUAAGGCAGGCUAACGUUUGAAUACAUUAGCAUGGAAUAAUGAAAUAGGACAUCCGAUUCUAUUUUGUUGGUUUUUAGGAUCGAUGUAAUGAUUAAUAGGGAUAGUUGGAGGCAUUAGUAUUCAAUUGUCAGAGGUGAAAUUCUUGGAUUUAUUGAAGACUAACUACUGCGAAAGCAUUUGCCAAGGAUGUUUUCAUUAAUCAAGAACGAAAGUUAGAGGAUCGAAGACGAUCAGAUACCGUCGUAGUCUUAACCAUAAACUAUGCCGACUAGGGAUCGGAUGAUGCUUAUUUUUAAUGACUCAUUCGGCACCUUACG
rnacentral:rRNA from 1 species